rnacentral:lncRNA from 1 species
GUCACGUUUUCUAAACUUUCUUACAUAUUUUUUUCAAAUUUUUUUCUUAAAUCUAUUUAUCAAAUGAUGAAAUCUUAUUUUAUUUCAAAUUUCAGAAAAAUAUUUUUAGAAAUAAAAGAGAAAUUAGCAAUUUCAUCUGGUCCGGUCAUUGUCGUUGUUGGUCCUGUCAGUCAGCGAUGGUCAUGUCACGUUUUCGAAAGUUUUUGAAAAUAAAUGUAUAUUUUUUAUAAAAUUUUGGUUUCAAAAUAUGACAUACCAUUUUAUAUUUCAAAUCUGAGAUAAUUCCUUUAAAAAAUAAAAAAGUUAUUAGCAUUUUUAUUUGGUCCUGUCAUUCUCGAUGUUGGUCCUGUCAUUAUCAGAGUUGGUCAUGUCACGUUUUCUAAAGUUUCUUACAAAACUUUUUUAUUUUUUUUCUUAAAUCUAUUUAUCAAAUGAUGAAAUCUUAUUAUAUUUCAAAUUUGAGAUCAAUCCUUUGAGAAACGAAAAAGUUAUUAGCAUUUUUCAUUUGGUCC